GAUGAACGCUAGCUACAGGCUUAACACAUGCAAGUCGAGGGGCAUCAGGAAGAAAGCUUGCUUUCUUUGCUGGCGACCGGCGCACGGGUGAGUAACACGUAUCCAACCUGCCCUUUACUCGGGGAUAGCCUUUCGAAAGAAAGAUUAAUACCCGAUAGCAUAAUGAUUCCGCAUGGUUUCAUUAUUAAAGGAUUCCGGUAAAGGAUGGGGAUGCGUUCCAUUAGGUUGUUGGUGAGGUAACGGCCCACCAAGCCUUCGAUGGAUAGGGGUUCUGAGAGGAAGGUCCCCCACAUUGGAACUGAGACACGGUCCAAACUCCUACGGGAGGCAGCAGUGAGGAAUAUUGGUCAAUGGGCGUUAGCUGAACCAGCCAAGUAGCGUGAAGGAUGAAGGCUCUAUGGGUCGUAAACUUCUUUUAUAUAAGAAUAAAGUGCAGUAUGUAAACUGUUUGGUAUGUAUUAUAUGAAUAAGGAUCGGGCUAACUCCGUGCCAGCAGCCGCGGUAAUACGGAGGAUCCGAGCGUUAUCCGGAUUUAUUGGGUUUAAAGGGAGCGUAGGUGGACUGGUAAGUCAGUUGUGAAAGUUUGCGGCUCAACCGUAAAAUUGCAGUUGAUACUGUCAGUCUUGAGUACAGUAGAGGUGGGCGGAAUUCGUGGUGUAGCGGUGAAAUGCUUAGAUAUCACGAAGAACUCCGAUUGCGAAGGCAGCUCACUGGACUGCAACUGACACUGAUGCUCGAAAGUGUGGGUAUCAAACAGGAUUAGAUACCCUGGUAGUCCACACAGUAAACGAUGAAUACUCGCUGUUUGCGAUAUACAGUAAGCGGCCAAGCGAAAGCAUUAAGUAUUCCACCUGGGGAGUACGCCGGCAACGGUGAAACUCAAAGGAAUUGACGGGGGCCCGCACAAGCGGAGGAACAUGUGGUUUAAUUCGAUGAUACGCGAGGAACCUUACCCGGGCUUAAAUUGCAGUGGAAUGAUGUGGAAACAUGUCAGUGANCAAUCACCGCUGUGAAGGUGCUGCAUGGUUGUCAUCAGCUCGUGCCGUGAGGUGUCGGCUUAAGUGCCAUAACGAGCGCAACCCUUAUCUUCAGUUACUAACAGGUUAUGCUGAGGACUCUGGAGAGACUGCCGUCGUAAGAUGUGAGGAAGGUGGGGAUGACGUCAAAUCAGCACGGCCCUUACGUCCGGGGCUACACACGUGUUACAAUGGGGGGUACAGAAGGCAGCUAGCGGGUGACCGUAUGCUAAUCCCAAAAUCCUCUCUCAGUUCGGAUCGAAGUCUGCAACCCGACUUCGUGAAGCUGGAUUCGCUAGUAAUCGCGCAUCAACCACGGCGCGGUGAAUACGUUCCCGGGCCUUGUACACACCGCCCGUCAAGCCAUGGGAGCCGGGGGGUACCCUGAAAUACCUUAACCCCAAGGGAUCGUCCUAAGGUAAAACUGGUGACUGGGGC
rnacentral:rRNA from 1 species